CCUACGGGUGGCAGCAGUGGGGGAUAUUGCACAAUGGGGGAAACCCUGAUGCAGCGACGCCGCGUGGGUGAAGAAGCGCCUCGGCGCGUAAAGCCCUGUCAGCAGGGAAGAAAAUGACGGUCCCUGAAGAAGAAGCCCCUGCUAACUACGUGCCAGCAGCCGCGGUAAUACGUAGGGGGCGAGCGUUCUCCGGAUAUACUGGGUGUAAAGGGGGCGCAGACGGCGAUGCAAGCCAGGAGUGAAAGCCCGGGGCCCAACCCCGGGACUGCUCUUGGAACUGCGUGGCUAGAGUGCAGGAGGGGCAGGCGGAAUUCCUGGUGUAGCGGUGAAAUGCGUAGAUAUCAGGAGGAACACCGGUGGCGAAGGCGGCCUGCUGGACUGCAACUGACGUUGAGGCCCGAAAGCGUGGGGAGCAAACAGGAUUAGAUACCCGAGUAGUC
rnacentral:rRNA from 1 species